rnacentral:rRNA from 1 species
UACGGAGGGUGCAAGCGUUAUCCGGAUUCACUGGGUUUAAAGGGUGCGUAGGAGGGCAGGUAAGUCAGUGGUGAAAUCUCCAAGCUUAACUUGGAAACUGCCGUUGAUACUAUCUGUCUUGAAUACCGUGGAGGUGAGCGGAAUAUGUCAUGUAGCGGUGAAAUGCUUAGAUAUGACAUAGAACACCAAUGCGAAGGCAGCUCGCUACACGAAUAUUGACUCUGAGGCACGAAAGCGUGGGGAUCAAACAGG